rnacentral:lncRNA from 1 species
ACGUGAAGAACAACGAGCUAACCCGGAUCGUCGACCGGCUGCACUAGAUGGUGAGCGGCGAGGGGCUAGUGGCCCCGGACCUGGUGGCGGCGUGGCCUUCAUCGCUCCUCGGGUGCAGUCAGUCCAGGAGCGGCCGCACCGAAUCUGCAAGAUGGGGACCCAUCGCCCCCCUGCUAGCCAACGACCUUCGAGUUGGCGCCGACCCUUGUAGUCGGCCGGAUCAACGCCAUUUCCAACUUCAAGUUGGACAUGAUGACGUGGUGGUUCGGCAAGGAGCUGUACAACCGGAGCGACCCGACACCAGUGGUUGUUGGCUUCAAAACGCCAGAUCAGAUCACACGUAUGUCUAUGUGCUAAGCUAGCACACAGCUAGGCAGCUUGAUGGAUCGAUUCUUGCUGGACACGAGUAGCUAGCUCAAUCAGCUAAGCUAGCGACCAUCUCGUCGGUGCUAAUUCAAUCACGACAGAACACGACAACUCGAGGUGAUGGUGAACAGGGCCGUGUCGGUCCUGUGUAUUGCUUUUCUUUUUCUUGGUGAUUUACAACGUGGGUUACAUAGGUAUAUAUAGGAGCUAACUAGUCCAAUAGCUAACCUAGUCGGUUUCCUGUACUAGUCCGUCUCGGACUAAAACUUGAAAAUCCUAAGUCGUGUUUAACUCUAAUAUUCACCCCCUUAAUCAUGGCGUUCUCUUUGUUCCCUACCUGGAUCCCAAAUGCGACUACUUGUAGGCUUCAUCCUGGGCGUUGUCUUCAUCGUUCCUUGUAGACUCCCAGUCACUGCGUUUGCUAUCGUCGGCUCAUUCGGAGCUUGACCACAACACUCCUUCUUAGUCGCAUCUUCUAUCUUCACCUCUUCUUCGGUGCUUUGUAGACUGUCCUUCGAACCAUCGAGGGCACAUCUUUUGAACCCGAGCAUGACCAUACUUUGGUCUAACUUUAAAUUCCAAGCUAUUGGCGCUUGCUUCAGUUCGUAAAGUGCCUUCUUGAGCUUGUAAACUUUCUCUUCUUCACCUUUCUUCUCGUAGCCGAGGGGUUGUUCCACGUACACUUCUUCUGUGAGAUCGCCGUUGAGGAAAGCGGAUUUAACAUCCAUAUGAUGAACCUUCCAAUCCUCUUGUGCUGCCAAAGCUAGGAGCACUCUCACUGUCUCGAGUCGAGCAACCGGUGCAAACACCUCAACAUAUUCAACUCCUUGACGUUGUACGUAGCUCUUUGCAACGAGUCUUGCCUUGUACUUCACAAUGACACCCUCCGUGUCCUUCUUUAACUUGUAAACCCACUUAAAACCAAUCGCCUUUUGGUUCGGAGGUCGGGUUACCAAAGUCCACGUGCCAUUGCUCUCAAUCGCCUUCAUCUCCUCAUCCAUGGCGUGCGUCCAACUAGGACUUUUGCUCGCCUCUACGAAGUUCGCCGGCUCCUCAACUCCGAACAGACAUAGUCCGGAGUACUCGAGCGUAACUGGCUUUGUGUACUUGUAGACUUUCUUGAGGGUCUUGUAGCGACAAGGCCCUGAGGAGUCCGUUGUGGUUUCCGAAGGAGGCGACACAAAUUGUGUCGGUGUUGAUGCACUUGAGGAAGAUGGCUGAGACCCGGGCGUGUCAUCGACAUCCGUGUCGUCGGCGUAGUCGUCGUGACCGUGACCAUCUUGAUUGUCGUCGUCACUAUGCGCCUCGUUGUCGAUGUUGUCGUCGAGAUCUCUGCCCGUGCCGUGCGCGUCGUUGUCGCUAUCUCCUUGCGACCUAUGCGCGUUGUCGGCACCAUGAUGAUCACUACCAUUGUGGUCACCUUGGUUGGGCGUCUUGCCAACCACCUGGACAUCCUCCCCUGCAUCAUCAUCAGUUGGAAAUUCAACCGUGAAUAUGUUACCGUUUGGAGCAUCGUUGGCUGCGACACUCCAAUUCCACGCUUGGUUUUCUUCAAACACGACGUCGCGUGAAAUCCGUAGACGCUUGGUUUGUGGAUCGUAGAAGCGGUAUGCCUUGGUGCUGGAACUCCUCUCGUAUCCGAUGAACACCAUCUUGGUGCUACGAUCGACAAGCUUUGUGAGGUGCGGCUCCGCCGUCUUCACAUAUGCCACGCACCCGAACUUCCGUAGAUGAGACACAUUGGGCUUACGUCCGUAAAUUGCUUCAUACGGAGUCUUGCCGAUCACCGCCUUCGUUGGAGCCCGGUUAAGAUAGACCGCCGUCGAGACAACUUCUCCCCAAAAAGUCCCCGAGAGGUUCUUGCUCUUGAGUAAACUCCUUGCCAUGUCAACGACGGUUCGAUUGCGCCUUUCAACGACCCCGUUCUUCUGUGGCGUGUAAGGUGCCGUGAGGAACCUUUUUAUGCCAAUCUUCUCGCAGUAGUCGUUGAACUCGUUCGACGUAAACUCUUCGCCGCGAUCUGUCCGUAGAGCGCGAACCUUCAGCUUGUGUUCCAUCUCCGUUGCAGCCUUCAGCUUCUUGAACGCUUCAAACGCCUUAUCUUUAGAUCGUAGGAGGACGACCCACAUAUAUCUCGAGUAGUCGUCUACCACAAGGAAGAAAUACUUCUUUCCCGCGUGAGUUGUCGGGGUGAUAGGGCCACAUAGAUCACCAUGGAGCAGCUCGAGUGCAUCACUUGCACAAUAGGUAGACUGAGCAGGGAACAGUCUGCGGUGCUGUUUUCCAACCAAGCACCCGUCACAUACUCGAUCAACAUGGUCGAUAAAUGGCAUCCCGGAUACCAUCUCCAUCUUUGACAUCUUCUUCAAGGCGUAGAAGUUAACGUGUCCAAAUCUAGCAUGCCAUAACCACGAAUCAUCAUCACUCUUGGCGAGUCAACACUCCGGUUGAGAUUGAUCAAGGUUGAGGAUAUAGAGCCUGUUCCGUGUGUGACUAACACGAGCUAGCACGAUUCGGAGGUUGUCGAAGAUCGUCUUCACUCCGUUCUCAAUAUCCACCUUGCAUCCAUUCUCGUCAAGCUUCCCGAUAGAGAUGAUGUUGUUGCGAAGCCGUGGGAUGUAGUACACUCCGGUGAGUAUGCGAUGUUCGCCUGUGAGACCCUCGAAGAGGACAGAUCCUUGCCCACAAAUCUCCACAUUCGAACCAUCACUAAACUUUACCGAGCCUUCAACAUCAUAUUCUAGCUCGAGAAAUUUCUCCUUGCAUCCUGUCAUGUGGUUACUGGCACCCGUGUGGAGAUACCACGACACAUUGUGAUCCCCGGAUAACUUAGGUGUCACAUUCUUCUCAUGAAGUAGUACCUUCCGGCUUGGUUUCACAACCACCGUUUCAGCGAGAUCACAAACUUCGCCCAUCAGAAGACCUGGACCUUCGUCUUCCUGCUUUGCCAAAUUUGCCUUGAUCUCCCGCUUGUCAGGCUCCGGACAAUUCUUUGCAAAGUGACCCAUCUCGUUGCAGUUAUAACACUUGACCUCGGACAUAUCCAAGUUUCGUUGCUUCCGCCCUUUAGAUCGGUCUGCCUUACCACGACCUUGUGGCUUGCCUUUUCCUUUGCCUUCUCCGGUUUGUCCGCUGCGUGUUGCGUUGCUUGAGCCUUCGUUGCCAUCACGCCUUCCUUUGCUACUUGGGGACUCCCAAUCUGCGCGCGAGUGCAUGAGUUGGUCACUACCUCCUCCGUUGCCUUUCCGACAGCCACGAGCAUUCUCUUCCCAUGUCCGCACGCGUCCGAUCGCCUCUGUUAUGGUCAUGUCGUCGAUGUCGUAAAGCUGCUCGAGCGUGCCGAUGAUGUACGUAAAUUUGUCAGUCACCGAACGGAAAAAUUUCUCCACAAUCUCGGUCUCCUCGAGCUUUGCACCAAGCGCGCGGAUCUCUCCCACCAGAGUAGUAAGACGCAUGGCGUAGUCGUUCACCGAUUCAGUUUCCUCCAUCUGCAACUUGUGAAAUUGGCGCUUCAGCACUUGUGCCUGAGCCUUGGUGACGCAAUCUUCUCCGAUCCUCAUCUCCUUGAGUGCGUUCCACGCCUCUCUUGCCGUCUCGAACUCCGCCAAUGUCAUUAGCACAGAAUCCGGCACGGACUGGGCUAUGGCGGCCUUGGCACCUUCGUCGCGCUCCUCGUCGACGUCGUUGUCCGUGAUGGCCUCCCACACUCGAAGGGAUCGGAGAAUAAUCUUCAUCUUCACCACCCACACGCCGUAGUUGACGUCGGUGAGCAUCGGGUACUGGAUGGGGAUGUUGCGAUGCGCCUGGACGUUGGCGCCGCCCGUUCCCCCACCACUGAUUGCUGACUUGCCGCCCUUCUUCACCUUGUCGCCGUUCUUGUUCCCCUUGGCACCGCCGCUGCCGGACUUGACCGAUUCAGCGUCGCUGUCUGUCAUCGUAGAUCGUCGAGGCUCUAGAUACCAAUUGUUGGCUUCAAAACGCCAGAUCAGAUCACACGUAUGUCUAUGUGCUAAGCUAGCACACAACCAGGCAGCUGGAUGGAUCGAUUCUUGCUGGACACGAGUAGCUAGCUUACUCAGCUAAGCUAGCGACCAUCUCGCCGGCGCUAAUUCAAUUUCGACAGAACACGACAAGUCGAGGUGAUGGCGAACAGGGCCGUGUCGGUCCUGUGUAUAGCUUUUCUUUUUCUUGGUGAUUUACAACCUGGGUUACAUAGGUAUAUAUAGGAGCUAACUAGUCCUAUAGCUAACCUAGUCGGUUUCCUGUACUAGUCCGUCUCGGACUAAAACUUGAAAAUCCUAAGCCGUGUUUAACUCUAAUAGUGGUAAGUCUUUGUCGGCACUUAUCUUCCGUUUGCUUUUCUCUUGGUUUUGUUCUCAUGUGCCGUGCCGGCUCCGGCCGCAG